UGCCCUAGUAACGGCGAGUGAAGCGGCAACAGCUCAAAUUUGAAAGCUAGCCUUCGGGUUCGCAUUGUAAUUUGUAGAGGAUGAUUUGGGGAAGCCGCCUGUCUAAGUUCCUUGGAACAGGACGUCAUAGAGGGUGAGAAUCCCGUAUGUGACAGGAAAUGGCACCCUAUGUAAAUCUCCUUCGACGAGUCGAGUUGUUUGGGAAUGCAGCUCUAAAUGGGAGGUAAAUUUCUUCUAAAGCUAAAUAUUGGCGAGAGACCGAUAGCGCACAAGUAGAGUGAUCGAAAGAUGAAAAGCACUUUGGAAAGAGAGUUAAAAAGCACGUGAAAUUGUUGAAAGGGAAGCGCUUGCAAUCAGACUUGUUUAAACUGUUCGGCCGGUCUUCUGACCGGUUUACUCAGUUUGGACAGGCCAGCAUCAGUUUCGGCGGCCGGAUAAAGGCUCUGGGAAUGUGGCCUCCACUUCGGUGGAGGUGUUAUAGCCCAGGGUGUAAUACGGCCAGCCGGGACUGAGGUCCGCGCUUCGGCUAGGAUGCUGGCGUAAUGGUUGUAAGCGA
rnacentral:rRNA from 1 species